UGACGGUACUUGACUAAGAAGCCCCGGCUAACUACGUGCCAGCAGCCGCGGUAAUACGUAGGGGGCAAGCGUUAUCCGGAUUUACUGGGUGUAAAGGGCGUGUAGGCGGAGCUGCAAGUCAGAUGUGAAAUCCCAGGGCUCAACCCCGGAACUGCAUUUGAAACUGUAGCCCUUGAGUAUCGGAGAGGCAAGCGGAAUUCCUAGUGUAGCGGUGAAAUGCGUAGAUAUUAGGAGGAACACCAGUGGCGAAGGCGGCUUGCUGGACGACAACUGACGCUGAGGCGCGAAAGCGUGGGGAGCAAACAGGAUUAGAUACCCUG
rnacentral:rRNA from 1 species